UUUUUUUUUUUUUUUUUUUUUUGAGACAAGAGUCUUAUGCAGCCCAGGCUGAGGUCUCCACAUAACAAAGGGGUUUGAGGGAAACCAAGUCCUUCAGAAACUUUCCAAAAGCUUUUUUCAGUGCAGCUUUACUAGAUCUGGGCUUGCCUGUGUUGGAUCCAUAGGCUGUACUAGUGUAACAGAGUCCAGUUCAGCCACAGUCAUCUGGGCGCUCGCUCGGCAUGCUUUCUCACCAGUAACAUGGAGGACUUCGUGUGGGCACUGGAGGGGAAAGUCCACUCACCACACUAGCAGAUGUUUUCAGCACUGUGAGCUGUACAGUCUAUAGUUAACUACUUGUUUGUUGUAGCCUAACAGCAAAACAGGAAUUAAGAAAUGAGAUUGGGUGCAGUCCAAUAAAAUUUUAAAGUCUCAGGGAACCAUGGAACUGUUUAAAGAAAGAGGUCUAACAUUUCUGUUACUGUAACCCCAGAUCAGGGAAGAAAAAGCCUAUUAGUGGGCUAAAGACACUAAUUAAGACACAGAUUUUGAUUAUGUAGAUUUUAAGAAAUGACCCAAAUAUAUACUUUGUACGAGAAAUUCAUCUUGUAUAUAUAACAGUAUAGGCAAAUUGAAAGUAAAAAGAUGGGGAAAAAUACAUUAUGAUAAUAGCAAUUAAAAUAACUUGUGGGAUACUUUAUUAAUACCAAUCAUUGAAGUGUCAGGUAAAAUAGACCUCAGGACAAAGUAAACAACAGACACUGCAGUCAACACAAGUAGAAGAUACCUUCUCGUUCUCAACAUGGAAUAUGUAUGUAUGUAUGUGUGUGUGUGUGUGUGUGUGUGUAUAUAUAUAUAUAUAUACAGAUACAUACAUACAUACAUACACACACACAUACACAGAUACAUACAUACAUACAUACAUACAUACAUACUCUGGCCUUCAUCAUGGUAAUGGCCUCCCAGGAACAAAUCCAGCAUUCACAUCCAGACUUCUGAAGGAAUGACCAAAGAUGUGACCAACAUUUAUAAACCAACCCCUUCAAGAUUGCUGAGUAUCAGUGAUGUGACCUUGCAAAAGACUGUCCCAAGGUAACAAUAGCUUUUCAGCCUGACCCCUGAAGAACCACCCUGAUGUGUGACCAGCAUUUGUGACUCAGCCCAGGAAAGAUUGAUAGGACUAGUUAGUAUCUAUGACCAGAUCUCACAAAAGAUUGCCUAGGGAUGUGUUAGUAUUUGAGCCCAUAAAGGAAAGCCAAGAGAGUGGAUGCUGGAACCAGCUUGCAGGUGAGACUACACUUAGACUUUAUAACUGUAUCCAUGCAGCUCUCUCCCACUCACAUAUAUUCCUUCUUUGCUUAAUAACCUAUAUUAAUUUGACAGGCCACCUAUAUCCCAGACUUUUAUUCUGUUUUUAAUUCUUCCUUUGUAUCUUUUUUGUAUCUUUUUUUUUUUUUUACAAGCUAAAGCAGAGACCAUGGAGUAACACUGCUUACUGACUUGUUCCUCUUGUCUUGCUCAGCUAGCUUUCUUAUAUAUUCUAGGACAGCCUGCCCAGAGAUUGCAUUACCCCCACUAGGCCAGGCCCUUCUAUACCAAUCACAGGCAUGCCUGCAGGUCAUCUGAUGGUAGCAUUUUCUCAACUCUCUUCAGAUGACUACCUUGUGUCAAGUUGACAAAAACAAUCGACACAGUAUGUGCGGACAUGUGGUGCUGGUGUGGAAGGGAGAGGCUGAUUUGUAGGAGUCAGCUCUCUCCUUCACUUUAUGCAUCCCGGGGAAUCAAACUCAGUUCACCAGGCUUGGAUGCAAGCUCCUGUAAGCACUGACCCAUCUUGCCACCAAGGCCACCAUCACUGCCCCUCUUCCUCUUCUCCCCUUCCUUUUAUGCUUUUUUGCUUUCCUUUUGAUAGGUUUUCCAAAGAGCAUAGUCUGAGUGGGUUUAUGGAGUCUCCAUAGUUCAGCCUCCUGAUACAUGAGACUUUUAUCUGCUAGCAUAUUUUUUAACUUUCUCUCCUUAUUUUAUUUUAUGAUAAAGUCUCAUGUAUCCCACAUUGGCCUCAGAUUUGCUGUGUGGCUGAGGAGGACCUUGAACUCCUGCCUCUACCUCCCAAGGUCUCUCAGGUCAUAGGAGUGCACUGUCAUACUUGACUUGUACAGUACUAGGGAUUGAAACCAGGGCCCUGAAUGCUAUGUGAGCACUGUGCCAACUAGGGUGUGUCUCCAGCUACCACACUCUUUCCAUUCUAUCUUUGCCUUCCUUAUGCCCUCCUGUCCCUCCUGUUCCCCACUCCUCUUUACUCUUUGCUCUACUUUGUUUCUACCAACUCACUGCUAAUCAUGGGCCUUACUUUCUUUCCUUUUUCCUCCACUCGAAUUUGUAGUAGUAGAUUGUUGCAUACUAUACUAUUGUUUCUUUACUUCCUAAAAGGAGUGUGUUUACUGGGUGAUUUUUUUUUUUUUUGAUUGUUACUUUAUUUUCAUAGUGGGACUAUCCUUUAACAAUGAUUGAGUUCAAUAACAAUUUUCUGUUCUUGGGGAAUGUUGAGAAUUGAGCUUGGUUGCCCCAACACUGUUGUAAGAGAGAAACAUUAUAUCUGAACUUUACUAUAUAGCUUAGUCCUUCUUAAAUAUUAUAAACACUUUUGUUGGGAGGGGAAGAUUAUUUAAGGAAAAAAAUUCAGCAGCCUAACCCCAUAUAUACAAAUCUCACAUAAAAGCAAAACAAAAACCAUGAGAAGCCUAAAAUCCAAGGCAGCAUGACUCCUCCAAGAUCUGCUAAUCUUUUGCAAUUCCCUGCAAUGACAGUAAAUUAGAUGAAAUCCCAUUCAAAGACUUAGAAAGUGUGAUAAGUAUGUUUAAAGAGAAAGAAGAUAUUAAUAACCCCCUGAAUGAAUUGCAAAAAUAAAAGACAGCUUUAUAAAUGUGGGGCAGGGGCAAUACAGAAAAUGAGAUUGGACCUCAGUAAAGGGAUAUAAGUACUG
rnacentral:lncRNA from 1 species